rfam:Corynebacterium uterequi strain DSM 45634, complete genome.
GUGUUUGUUCGUUUAUGGGCACACGGUGGAUGCCUGGGCAUGUUGAGCCGAUGAAGGACGUGUGAGUCUGCGUUAAGCCUUGGGGAGUUGGCAACUAAGCGUUGAUCCGAGGAUGUCCGAAUGGGGUAACCCUGCACGCGUUGUGGUGUGUAACCGCCAGGUGAAUGUAUAGUCUGGUUGGGGGUGACGCGGGGAAGUGAAACAUCUCAGUACCCGUAGGAAGAGAAAAUAAUAAUGAUUCUGCUAGUAGUGGCGAGCGAACGUGGAUGAGGCUAAAGCAUGUGCGUGUGAUACCUGGGUAGGGGUUGCGUGUGUGUUGUUGUGGGGUGUGUGCGUGUGGCGGCUACCUGACGCUGCGCGGUGUGUGCGAUGUGAGUGGAAGUGGUCUGGAGUGGCCUGCCGUAGAGGGUGAUGAGUCCCGUACAUGGUUGCAUCGUUAUCAUGCUGUUGUGCAUGUCCCCGAGUAGCAGUGGGCUCGUGGAAUCUGCUGUGAAUCUGCCGGGACCACCCGGUAAGCCUAAAUACUUGACAUGACCGAUAGUGGAUGUAGUACCGUGAGGGAAUGGUGAAAAGUACCCCGGGAGGGGAGUGAAAUAGUUCCUGAAACCGUGUGUUUACAAUCCGUCAGAGCCUUGCUUGUGUGGGGCGAUGGCGUGCCUUUUGAAGAAUGAGCCUGCGAGUCAGCGGCAUGUCGCGAGGUUAACCCGUGUGGGGUAGUCGUAGCGAAAGCGAAUCCUAAUUGGGUGUUGUAGUGGCAUGUUCUGGACCCGAAGCGGGGUGAUCUACCCAUGGCCAGUGUGAAGCAGCUGUAAGAGGUUGUGGAGGCGCGAACCCACUUAGGUUGAAAACUGAGGGGAUGAGUUGUGGGUAGGGGUGAAAGGCUAAUCAAACUCCGUGAUAGCUGGUUCUCCCCGAAAUGCAUUUAGGUGCAGCGUUGUGUGUGCUUGCCGGAGGUAGAGCUACUGGUUGGUUGAGCGGGACUACAAUCUUAGUGAUGUCAGCCAAACUCCGAAUGCCGGUGAAGUGUAGCAUGGCAGUGAGACUGUGGGGGAUAAGCUUCAUAGUCGAGAGGGAAACAGCCCAGAUCGUCGGCUAAGGCCCCUAAGGGUGUACUAAGUGGAAAAGGAUGUGUGAUCGCGAUGACAGCCAGGAGGUUGGCUUAGAAGCAGCCAUCCUUGAAAGAGUGCGUAAUAGCUCACUGGUCGAGUGGUUGUGCGCCGACAAUGUAGUGGGGCUCAAGUACACCGCCGAAGCCACGGCAACCAACGUUGGUUGGUUGGGUAGGGGAGCGUCGUGCACGUGUGUGAAGCAUUACUGUGAGGUGGUGUGGAGUGUGUGCGAGUGAGAAUGCAGGCAUGAGUAACGAGUGUAAGGUGAGAAUCCUUACCGCCGGAUGACUAAGGGUUCCUGGGUCAAGUUCGUCUUCCCAGGGUGAGUCGGGGCCUAAGGCGAGGCCGACAGGCGUAGUCGAUGGAUAACCAGUUGAUAUUCUGGUACCCGUAUAUGCGCGACCAAUGAUGAAUCGGUGAUACUAACCACCCUGAACACUAUCCUGAGUGUCUUCGGAUACUUCGGGUGUGUGUGAGGGGUGGGGCCUGAGCUGGUAGUAGUCAAGUGAUGGGGUGACGCAGUGUGGUAGCCGCGCCAGGUGUUGGUUUCUGGUGUAAGCGUUCGAGGUUGUGGUGUUGGUGAAAUCCGCACCGCGUGUUGACUGAGGCGUGAUGCGUAGCCCCUUUGGGGUGAUGGUGGUGAUCUAGUGCUGUCGAGAAAAGCCUCUAGCGAUGUGUGUGUACGGCCCGUACCCUAAACCGACACAGGUGGUCAGGUAGAGAAUACUAAGGCGGUCGGGUGAACUGUGGUUAAGGAACUCGGCAAAUUAGCCCCGUAACUUCGGGAGAAGGGGUGCCACUGCUGGUGAAAGCUGGUGGUGGUCGCAGUGGAUAGAGGGAAGCGACUGUUUAUCAAAAACAUAGGUCUGUGCGAAGACGUGUAAGUUGAUGUAUACGGACUGACGCCUGCCCGGUGCUGGAAGGUUAAGAGGACCGGUUAGUGCACUUUGGUGUGCGAAGCUGAGAAUUUAAGCCCCAGUAAACGGCGGUGGUAACUAUAACCAUCCUAAGGUAGCGAAAUUCCUUGUCGGGUAAGUUCCGACCUGCACGAAUGGCGUAACGACUUCCCUGCUGUCUCAACCACAGGCCCGGUGAAAUUGCAGUACGAGUAAAGAUGCUCGUUUCGCGCGGCAGGACGAAAAGACCCCGGGACCUUUACUAUAGCUUGGUAUUGGUGUUUGGUUCGGUUUGUGUAGGAUAGGUGGGAGACUGUGAAGCUGUCACGCUAGUGGUGGUGGAGUCGUUGUUGAAAUACCACUCUGGUCGGAUUGGAUACCUUAACCUUGGCCCAUGAUCUGGGUUGGGGACAGUGCCUGGUGGGUAGUUUAACUGGGGCGGUUGCCUCCUAAAUGGUAACGGAGGCGCCCAAAGGUUUCCUCAGCUUGGUUGGUAAUCAGGUGGUGAGUGUAAGUGCACAAGGGAGCUUGACUGUGAGAGUGACGGCUCGAGCAGGGACGAAAGUCGGGACUAGUGAUCCGGCACCUACUUGUGGAUGUGGUGUCGCUCAACGGAUAAAAGGUACCCCGGGGAUAACAGGCUGAUCUUCCCCAAGAGUCCAUAUCGACGGGAUGGUUUGGCACCUCGAUGUCGGCUCGUCGCAUCCUGGGGCUGGAGUAGGUCCCAAGGGUUGGGCUGUUCGCCCAUUAAAGCGGCACGCGAGCUGGGUUCAGAACGUCGUGAGACAGUUCGGUCUCUAUCCGCCGCGCGCGUGGAAACUUGAAGAAGGCUGUCCCUAGUACGAGAGGACCGGGAUGGACGUACCUCUGGUGUGCCAGUUAUCUUGCCUUGGGUAGGGCUGGUUGGCUACGUACGGGAGGGAUAACCGCUGAAAGCAUCUAAGCGGGAAGCCUGUUUUGAGAUGAGGUUUCUUUUGAGGUUCCCUAGUGAUGAUGGGGUUGAUAGGCCAGGGUUGUAAGCAUUGUGAGGUGUUGAGGCGACUGGUACUAAUUGACCGACUACAAACAUGA